rfam:TPA: Bos taurus chromosome 24, whole genome shotgun sequence.
CCUGGUGGCUCAGCAGUAAAGAAUCUGCCUGCAAUGCAGGAGACCCAGGUUCGAUCCCUGGGUCAGGA